UGCCAUUGAUUAAAGACAGUGCAAUGGACAUACAGCUUUUUAACUUGUUUCAUCCCUAUUAGAAGAGUCAUGAUUCGUUUAAGCUUUUAAGUUGCCCUAUUUCUUUUCAAACUUGGUAAACACAGCUGUUUUCAAUGAUUAAAAAGAAAUGAACUGAAAGCAAUAUAAAAAUGGACACUUAGCUAAAAUAAGGCUGAGUGGUUGCAGCAUGAACACAUUAUCUUAUUUAGAUACUUUUUUUUGUUUCUGUUUUCAAUUGUUUGCCAAAAACUACUUUACUGACAGAUACUCCUCCAAAAUGGACAGGAUAAACGAAGUGAUACAUUAUGGCAAUUAGUUUGUAGAUAUAUAAUGUUCAUUUCCCAAAGCAUAAUGAAAUAAGGGAACUUUAGUAUCACUGGGUUUUAGAUUUAUUAUUAAAAUUCUAAAAGUGAACAAGUGCAAAAGAGGAGGAUAUUGCUUCCUUCUGAUUCUUAUCUUGGAUGUUUUAGCAGAGAAUAUGAAAGAAUGGCAGAUUUAUACUUAAUCAGAGAAGAUGUCUUCAAAAAAGACUGUUGUACUUUUCUGGUAUAUGCUCUUGUAUCUGAAUUGAAAUAUCUUCCUUUAAUUUAAAAAAAUUAAGUAUACCCAUUACCAUUUCUCAGUUAAUGACAGAUAUUUUAUAUCUAAAGUUCAUAAAAUUAACUUAUUUGCUACCCUUUAAGGAAAAGUUAAUGAUUUCUCUACAACAGUAACUAUACCCACAGGUUUUUUUAAACAUUUUUUUUAUUAUCUCAUAUUCACCCACAGGUUUUAUGUAGAUUUAUCUGGUAGACAAGUCCAGAUAGCAAAAAACCCAGUGUAACAAGAAUCUUAUGUGGGAAUAUAAAAUUAAAUGCUUUCUCGAGACUAACCUAUAUAUGUAUGUGCAUGUGUACAAUGUUUUUUUGUUGCUUAUCUAUGGGUUCUAGUUUUUUGGCUGCUGUAGUUGCCUUCUGAAAUACACCCAUGAUGUCUAAUAUCCUAUACACUAAAAUAUUGUCUUUUCAGAGAUAAUUCACCUGAGACUAAAACCUUGUAUAUAGAGUUUUGAGUGCUUUGAGAAUUGCCCAUAUGGAAAGUCAACCCCUGGGAGAGGAAUCACCUGCAUUUAUCUUCUAUUUAACGAAAAAAGGUUUGGCCAUCUUCUAAGGAGUUUGAACCCACUGAAGAACUAUCUUGACUAUCUUGAUGGGGAAGCUGAAGAAAUCCUUCACUGGAGUCUGAACGGGAUUUUGGAAGUAUUGCCUUCUACAGAAUCCAUAGUACUCCGAAGCUCUUCUACAGUUUUUGUCAAACUCUGGUUUUCCAUUUCCAACUUUAAUAAUCUACUUGAUGUCAACUCAUUCACCUCAUGGCCCAAGGAUUUCUGUGGUGCUAUAAUAUUAAAAAAUACACCACUGAGCUUCCAGCACUAUGCUGAAGAGAAGUGACAAGAGUGGGCAUCCUUGUCUUAAUUCCAAUCUUAGAGAAAAACUCUCAACUUUUCUCUGCUGAGCAUGACGUUAGCCAUGGACUUGUCAUUUAUGGCCUUUAUUGUUCUGAGUCCCUGUAGGGACCAUCAAAAUUGCCAAUGCCGACUAUAUUGCAAGUCAUCAUGGCGGGGUAUUGGGAAAAGUUUUCAAUUGUAAUAAUUGCACCUCAGAUAAACCUCAUUGGCUACAAUACUGCCACUGCACAAAGCUAAGUGUUCACAAUUCUAUCUUGCUAAGUUAUAUGAAUAUGGUUUAUAAAGUCAAAAGAAAGUAUAUUAAGACAGUGGCAUUCCUGAAACUCUCUUAAUAGUGCCAUGCAUAUGCAUGGCUAAAUAACUAGUAAAGAAUUAAUAUGUACUUUAUCUUUGCAGUCCUGUUGGGUCUAUUUAUUGGUAACCUACACACUAAAAUGUUCUAACUACUUUCUCUCAUGUCUUCAUUUCUUGAUUUUGUGUACUCCCUUGUUCUUAGUAAACUCAUAUUGAAACUAACCAAAAUCUGCUGUUUACAGACAAUGAGGAAAUUAACUGAGAAAGGAAAAAAGGAUACAAGAAGUGUCAAAUUCUUGCUAUCAAACUCAAACAAGAAAAGUUGGUUUUCCUAAUUUGUUUGUAUGUAUAUAGUAGCCUUCAUUAAUCUUAAUUUAGUAGUCUUGGUUAAGGAGCAAUCAGAAAUAUGUUAUACUUUCACAAGUUUGAGAUUAGCAGAGAGAAAUACUUUGACAAUGAGGGAAGAAUUGCAAAAGUCUGAUCUACCUAUGAUGCUAAGUAAAGGAAUGAAAGAAGCAUCCAGAUAAAUUCAAUAAAAUUAAGGAUUCCUUGGUAAAAGUCUAAUAUGCUGGUCUAUCAUAAAAUAAACACUCAGGGGUAUUUAUUGUUUCUUCAACAUUUCAAGAGCUUCUCAUGUUUAUUAAGUGCAUUUUAAAUGCAUUUUAAAAAUCAUAACACAUUUAAAAAAUAUCAUGAAUGGUUAAUUAUGCA